rnacentral:lncRNA from 1 species
UGCCUUCACACCAGUAUAUGAGUGAGUUCCAAGUGCUUUUUGCCAGUUUACGAGAGUGUUCCAAAGAGUCUGAACAAGAGGGACAUUUUCUGCUAUGGAUAAUCAGAUUUUGGUUUAAGUGAUUCUCAAGUACCUUGCCAGUUUCCCUGAUGUUUUGUCAUAGGUGAAGGACCACUGAAAGGGUAGCAAUUUCCUGUGAAGCUGAGAGCUGAAAACCAAGCGCAAGUCUAUUACAUUGUGUGUUCAUGUUGGGGAAAUUACUGAGAAUUACAGUCACUGGUACUUGGGACUGUUGACAGCCGAGGAGAGACGUUAAGAAAAAUCUGAAAGAGGUGAAGUUCUGUUGGAUUUUGAUCUCCAGGUCCUUAAAAAGACAGACAGCUUAUCAGCGAGAUAGAAGUGUUUUUGUGAAAUAAACCUCAACAAGGUUCACAGAUAAAUAAAGCAACCGACAGUCUAAUGAUAAUUGUUAGGUAAGGAUGA